rnacentral:rRNA from 1 species
AGGACGAACGCUGGCGGCAUGCCUAAUACAUGCAAGUCGUGCGGAUACUUCAAGGAGCUUGCUCUUUGAAGUGUUAGCGGCGGAUGGGUGAGUAACACGUGGGCAACCUGCCCUACAGAUGGGGAUAACUCCGGGAAACCGGGGCUAAUACCGAAUAAACAGUUUGUCCGCAUGGACAAACUCUGAAAGACGGUUUCGGCUGUCACUGUAGGAUGGGCCCGCGGCGCAUUAGCUAGUUGGUGGGAUAACGGCCUACCAAGGCAACGAUGCGUAGCCGACCUGAGAGGGUGAUCGGCCACACUGGGACUGAGACACGGCCCAGACUCCUACGGGAGGCAGCAGUAGGGAAUCUUCCACAAUGGACGAAAGUCUGAUGGAGCAAUGCCGCGUGAGUGAAGAAGGUUUUCGGAUCGUAAAGCUCUGUUGUAAGGAAGAACAAGUACGGAGUAACGUGCCCGUACCUUGACGGUACCUUAGUAGAAGCCACGGCUAACUACGUGCCAGCACGG